CAUUUAUAUGGAUUAUAGCAUUAGUGGUGGUUUGUCUAGUCUAUAUGAUUUAUUUGUCAUGGAAUGUGUAUAAUGAAGAUUUCGAUAGAAGGUAGUGGUUGUCAUUUUGCUUUUGGAUCUUGCAGGCUAUUUGGAGUUGGUUAAUAAUGUGUUGUAGGUUUUGUUUAUUGGCUUUUUUUCUUGUUUUUUGUUUCGAUGUUGCAUAGCUUUUGUGAUUAACUCUGUUUCUGGUAGUUAUAUUAUGUUAGUUGUAUUUCUGUAGUUGCUUACCUUGAGCUCAAUCUAAGCAGUAACAUUUUGCUUAAUUUUCAACCAAACUCCAAUAUAACAAAUAACUAUGGAUUAGUUUGUAAAUUAAUUUUUUUUCUAUUGCAAGAAAAAUAAAAUAUCACCACAGCAUCAAACAUAUA
rnacentral:lncRNA from 1 species